UCGUAAGGUGACUGCCCGCGAAAGCGGGAGGAAGAGGGGACGACGUCUGGUCAGCAUGGCCCUUACGGCCUGGGCGACACACGUGCUACAAUGCCCACUACAAAGCGAGGCCACCCGGCAACGGGGAGCUAAUCGCAAAAAGGUGGGCCCAGUUCGGAUUGGGGUCUGCAACCCGACCCCAUGAAGCCGGAAUCGCUAGUAAUCGCGGAUCAGCCAUGCCGCGGUGAAUACGUUCCCGGGCCUU
rnacentral:rRNA from 1 species